CUCCCCAUUUUUAAUCGUGUACUGAAGGAACCAGCCUAAAUUUUGCAUGUUUGGUUGAGUCAAAUCACUGUGAAGAUCCCGUGUCUUAAGGAAAAUGACAGUCGGAGAUCCAAAUCAUCGAGCAGAAGAUCGUAAUAAACUGGGGCCAUCACAUCUGGUUGAGAAAGAACGACCUUGCGCCAUGCGUGCAUUCGCGCUUUUCGGUGUUCAGAAACAGAGAAAAUACCAUGGUAUUGGAGAUACCGUGGUAUAUUAAAACAGUUUUUUUAGCCAAACAACUCACAGUAAUAAGAACUGUAGCAAUAAGAAGAACCGUACUAGUAUUUGUAAAAUAUUUAGAAAAUAUUUUGCUAUCAAACGAGGCCUACGCCAUAUUUCUGACAGUCUUUUGUUUUGUAUUAGCUGACUGUAACCCUAUUACAGAGUUACAUAGGAAUAAACUCUAUUCUCACCCCGAUAAAAGAGAAAAACUGGUCGACGAGUGCUAGAGACGACGCACCGCCUGCAGCUUCCAGUUACACACAGGAUGAAACGCUGAUACUGUUCACCCACCGCCUGCUUGCUUCGCCCAACAUCCAGAGGUAGCACAGAGCCUUGAACCAGACGCAAAGCAGAGCUUUCAUUGGCUGGCUCUGCCUGCUGUUUGCCUACCUCAGCUUUGCAGCGGCGUUCUUUAUUUCGACUGGCGCCUGACGGAUACGUAGGCGUAGGCUGGGUUCAUCGUGCCAAUCCCGCGCGCCACCCACCACGCUGCUGUCCAUCCCCGCUCUGCCGCACUACCCAUCCCCGCUUCACCGCGCCCGAAUUUAAAACUCUUCCUUUGGACGGACGCGGAUUUCAUAAAGCCUACAUUUUGGGGCCUGAAAAAAAGAAAGCCUAAAUUUCGGUGUGCAGGCGCAUGCGCAGUCAUUUGCAAGCACGAUUAGUAUAUAUUUUUUUCUUUGAGAAACUGCAUCAGAUGGCAUGAAACAGUAGCCUUUUUCUUAGGUCAUAGUAUUAUUUUGUGUAUCAUUUUUUUGAGAGAAUUGUUUCGUUUAGACUUAAAUUGCAAAACAUGCUCAACACGCCUGGUGGGCCGAAUCCCGACCAGUAUGCUUAUCCAUACCACUAGUAAUAUCUUUUCUUGAUGCCUGCCUAUAUAUCUCCCUCUGCCGCGAAUGCUCCCAACUCACAAAGCUAGGAAGGAAUCUUGUAGAGAAGCGUAAAUGAGGUGAGGUCAUAAAAUCUCUGAUCGUCCCUCACGCUGGACUUGUCAGCUUUCACGCGUCUAUCAUCACGUUCAUCAUAAUUGAGAGUGGAAGCGUGCCUGGUCAAGGCUGCCCUGCGCAGGUGCAGCUCCUAGCUUACACUCUACGUGGUUGUGGAACCGAGGGAGUAGGACUCACGCGGAUACUUACAUACUUGGCGUCAUGUCACUCGGACAAUUGGCGUCAUGUCAAUCGUGGCACCUUUCGCGGAUAGUUUAGAGUUGGGCAAGCAACCACGGUGAUCCAGCGAACGAGCCUGCCAGUCACAACUCACAAAGCCCUAGCGGCGUCACGUGCCGCUACUAUAGGUGCUGCAGCUAGCUUGCAUUCCAUUGGAUGUCUCAUUUAUGAGCACUAGAUGACCCGUUGCGCCAAUGGCGCAAAGGCCGACAGCAAGCCAAGUAUUGUAAGAGUGGUGAUAGGAAAACUCAGACACAGAUCAAAGUAAUGAGUACUUAUUGUUGGUUACUGUUUCUGUUCAUGAUUAUUGUUUCUCCUGGAACAGUGUGUGCUAAAUGAUAGUGCUAUAUCCCUUGAGUGGAAGGUGGUCGCUGCCAGGUAGGGCAUGCCUCUUCCUUGCUUAGGAUACAAGCAACAUCCACCUUCAGGGCCUGAUGCAUAAGAAAUGGCCUCUCAAGAACCAUAUCCAUUCAAGUAGGCUGUAAAGGGAAAGAAAGAUAAAGAUAAACGAUUAACAAUGUUGAUAUCAUGAAGCAAGACAUGUGGAAACAGAAGCAAAUGUGUCACAUAUUGAAGAAAAGUAUUUUAACCAUUAAGAUGGGUACAGAAGCUAAUAUCGCGCUUAUUAUUACACAACUGAUUAAGUAUAAAUAAGUGAAGCAUUCGUUGGUGUACAAUAUUAGCAUGUAGGCCUAGGAUAUGGUUCCAUUCUUAGUCCAUCUGGAGCAGCAAGUAUAGUUAUUAUCUCUAGCAUAUCUUGCUUUUCAGACCAUCUGCAGAUGCCCAUAUAGUUAAAAGGCCAAAUGACCAAAAUACAAAUUCAGAUGAGGAGAUAUUAGCAAAUAAAUGCUUAGCAUUACAGAUAGUACAUAACAAUCAAAUUUUUGCUACUGAAGUGCAUGUCCUUUUCUCUGAAAUUAAUGGUCGGGUGGAACAUAUAUAUUCACCAAGUAUAUCCCCUCUUCUCAGACCAAGACUACACAAUGAGGUAUCAUCUGUUUCCUAAUUACACUGUAACCUGAAAUCUGUGUGCAUAUGCACAUGGGCAUAUCCAUUUUAUUCCUAAUAGGAAAAUAUGCCAAAACAUCGGUCACUUUCUCUUUUGAGCUGGAAAGACUGAUCACUUGGUUAAUAUGCAUGCAGACGCCUCUAAUCUAAAUAGAGGAACUGAAAAAUCCGUCACUAUGAUUUUAUUAACUAUAUACAUAUACAUUCCAGUCAAGCGCCAUUCUAGAAAAUGACAAGCUUAGCAGUGAUUUUCUUAAAUAUGCACCACCAAAUAUUGAAAGGUAGAAUAAUAUCAUCAUCCUUUUAGUUCCCAUCCAUAUGGAGGAGCAUAAAGAUAGCAAAAAUGUUAGUACUGUAUGCACCUUUUACUAAAGUAUCACCUUCAUAGCUAGCAAGAAAAAACGGAGCUUGGAAGUUCUGAAUCUUUUGUUGAUCACAACAAUGGUGUGAGCUGAUUGGAUAAGAAUAUAACAAAUAUUUGCUAUCUUCAUCUCCAGAGAGAGAACAUAUUCACAUGAUAAAUUAGCAGCCAAUUGUCCAAACUUAAAUACAGAAUGCAAUGCGAAGAACUGCCCACCUAAUCAUUGCCAACUACAUCGCCAGCAGUAUAUUGAGAGAAAUCAUCAAAUCUGGCCAGAACAAAAGGUUCCCAUGUAGCUAGCUUAAUUAGUAUAUGUCCAAAAUAUUGUUUCCAAAAAGAAACAUGAGUUACAGUUUAGUAGGAGCUGGGAUACACAUUCUUAUUAAAAUUAUUGGUUUAGAUCUGUGUAGCUUUCAAGGGGCUACCAAUCAAUCCAUAUGUCCAUCAACGCAAUACUUUCAGAAGGGCACCACUCAAUCCAUUUGAGCAUCUCCUUUUUGCAUUAAUAGAAGAGGAGCUAGCAUACCUGUAGAUGGGUUGGUGAUGGUGAGGUCGCCAGCAAGUAGACCUAGCUGCAGAGGACACCGCCUCCCCCGCACUGUAUUGCGUCAAACCUGGAAGUGCACAUAUUAAAGCAAGAGUUUAUCUGCCACAUAAGAAAGCACAUACAUAAAAGCAGC
rnacentral:lncRNA from 1 species